GACAGAGGGUGCGAGCGUUGUUCGGAAUUAUUGGGCGUAAAGGGCGCGUAGGCGGCGACUAAAGUCGGAUGUGAAAUCCCUGGGCUCAACCCAGGAAGUGCAUCUGAUACUGAGUUGCUUGAGUCCCGGAGAGGGUGGUGGAAUUCCUGGUGUAGAGGUGAAAUUCGUAGAUAUCAGGAGGAACACCGGUGGCGAAGGCGACCACCUGGACGGAGACUGACGCUGAGGCGCGAAAGCGUGGGGAGCAAACAGGAUUAGAUACCCUGGUAGUCCACGCUGUAAACGAUGGGUGCUAGGUGUCGCGGGUAUUGACCCCUGCGGUGCCGACGCUAACGCAUUAAGCACCCCGCCUGGGAAGUACGGCCGCAAGGCUAAA
rnacentral:rRNA from 1 species